rnacentral:tRNA from 1 species
CGGGAAGUAGCUCAGCUUGGUAGAGCGCCACGUUCGGGACGUGGAGGUCGCAGGUUCGAAUCCUGUUUUCCCGA